GAUAGAUAAUACUGCUAUUGCCAAUCCUCUCUGUCAUGUAAUCCAUAUUCCAGAGAGGAUUGGCAAUAGCAGUAUUAUCUAUC
rnacentral:miRNA from 1 species